rnacentral:rRNA from 1 species
ACGUAGGUGGCAAGCGUUGUCCGGAAUUACUGGGUGUAAAGGGUGCGUAGGCGGGUAUCCAAGUCAAAUGUGAAAUCUAUGGGCUCAACCCAUAGACUGCGUUUGAAACUGGGUAUCUUGAGUGAAGUAGAGGCAGGCGGAAUUCCGAGUGUAGCGGUGAAAUGCGUAGAUAUUCGGAGGAACACCAGUGGCGAAGGCGGCCUGCUGGGCUUUUACUGACGCUGAUGCACGAAAGCAUGGGGAGCAAACAG